rnacentral:lncRNA from 1 species
UGUGCCGGUUGUCUAUGAUACGUGCUAUUUUUUUUCACGUCACACAGGACGCUUUGCGGUGAAAUUAUCGAGUGGUUCGAUCUUUGACGUUUAAAUGGUCAUUCGGCUCAGGUGGAUAAUGUCGGUUCAGAUAGUGCGGUCGAAUUGAAAACGCGUUUUAGUCCGAUCGUGUGCGACGAAAAUAAUAGUUACGUCGAUUCACCUGAAACUUGUAACGAUAAGCGUGGGAAAAUGACGAGAAAGAAUGAGGAGAAAAAAUGAUUUGUGAAACUGUGACGACGAUACGACGAUGUGAAAUGUAUAGUGUGUACGUUGACGGUGCUGUUCUUGUUAAUGUUUGAUGCUAUUUUUUUUUAUUUUUUGUUUUUGAAAUAUUUUUAUUCUGGUGUCGUUUGAGAUAUCGAGAUAGCCGAUCUCUGAUUGUUUACCCGAUUUGGAUUACCUGAACAUACACCUCGCACGGACACCACGUUCAAAGGUGAGCAGACGAAGCCGCGGCGCGAGUUACACCGACGCAACUAACGGCAGAAUUGAAGGGAUGUACCGAAUCUCCUAAUUCCGCAGGUGUGGACGCGGAGACGCCGAAGAAACGAGGGAGCGAGGGGGGA